CCACUUACAGAUGGACCCGCGGCGCAUUAGCUAGUUGGUGAGGUAACGGCUCACCAAGGCAACGAUGCGUAGCCGACCUGAGAGGGUGAUCGGCCACACUGGGACUGAGACACGGCCCAGACUCCUACGGGAGGCAGCAGUAGGGAAUCUUCCGCAAUGGACGAAAGUCUGACGGAGCAACGCCGCGUGAGUGAUGAAGGUUUUCGGAUCGUAAAACUCUGUUGUUAGGGAAGAACAAGUACCGUUCGAAUAGGGCGGUACCUUGACGGUACCUAACCAGAAAGCCACGGCUAACUACGUGCCAGCAGCCGCGGUAAUACGUAGGUGGCAAGCGUUGUCCGGAAUUAUUGGGCGUAAAGCGCGCGCAGGCGGUUUCUUAAGUCUGAUGUGAAAGCCCCCGGCUCAACCGGGGAGGGUCAUUGGAAACUGGGGAACUUGAGUGCAGAAGAGGAGAGUGGAAUUCCACGUGUAGCGGUGAAAUGCGUAGAGAUGUGGAGGAACACCAGUGGCGAAGGCGACUCUCUGGUCUGUAACUGACGCUGAGGCGCGAAAGCGUGGGGAGCGAACAGGAUUAGAUACCCUGGUAGUCCACGCCGUAAACGAUGAGUGCUAAGUGUUAGAGGGUUUCCGCCCUUUAGUGCUGCAGCAAACGCA
rnacentral:rRNA from 1 species